rnacentral:rRNA from 1 species
CGUAGGGUGCAAGCGUUAAUCGGAAUUACUGGGCGUAAAGCGUGCGCAGGCGGUUUUCAAGACAGAUGUGAAAUACCCCGGGCGUUAACCUGGGAAUGGCAUUUGUGACUGGAAGGCUAGAGUGUGUCAGAGGGGGUAGGAAUUCCACGUGUAGCAGUGAAAUGCGUAGAGAUGUGGAGGAAUACCGAUGGCGAAGGCAGCCCCCUGGGAUAACACUGACGCUCAUGCACGAAAGCGUGGGAGCAAACAGGAUU